AGUAGAAUUCCUUCGUGAAGAGGUCUGUCUACAAACACAUCUGAAGUCCAGCAGCUGUGGGACACGUUGAAACUACAGCUAACACCUGCUGAUGAAGGAAUGAUCAUAGACCAGGAAGAAGAAAUGAGUCAUUUAAAAGAGAACAAAAGCGGUAAAGGGCUGGAUGCUGUUUUUAAUCCUCCAAAUCUCUUCUACAGAACAGACAUGGAGCCGUUGUUGGUGAUUAAAGAAGAAACUCUCGCUGAAUACCAGGA